AAGUAAAUUCACUAAAAAAUGAAAUUCAGUAUUCAGUGAAUACAAGGAGCAACAACCUCAGUCAAAAGUACAUAACAUGUAAAAGAAACUCCAGGGAAAACGAAAACAGCACACUAAAUCAGUGUUGUUUAUCAAAUCACAAAACUAAAUGGAGUGGAUGUGAUUGGAGAGGCAUGCACAUAGUUGCAGCCAAUCAGAGCACAAGGCAGUCCCAGAGCAAGGUGGAGCUCUCGCUUUUCAAAGUAAAGUGCAGCUGGCUGCGGCUAGCAUCUGCUCAUGCUGCUGUUUGCCACAACAAAGAUGCUCAUUUACUAGCCUCAAAGAUUCAAAGAGUAGGGCUGGUACUGAGGGGCGGCCUUCACCAUCUUCUUCACCACAUACCGCUCCCCAUGGGCUGCAGUCAAGGCCACCAUGAGGAGGAGGAUGCUUGCUACUCGUAAGUCCAUCUUACAAGGUCCAACCUGCAGGGGAAAACAAGGAGACAGUCAGCACAAGCACUCUCAAGGAAUUGAUGUUUCUGGUUUCCUCGCCAUGCUGACCGAGGCUCAACCCACACCCAAGAGGAGAACAUAAUUGGCAGUUGAUGUAAGGGGACCCGACCGAGCACAAACCCAAAUGGCCCGCAGAUGAAAGGUGCUGGACCUGGAAAUGAGACACAAGCCCCAAGAUUGAAAAAACCCAGGUGGACGACCACAGCUAGACCCCUUGGGCCAAGCACUUAACUCUCCACCUGAAAUUCACUCAUUAGAAAAGAACAGCGUAAACACGUGAAGCUGCCAAAAAGGCUUUCCAAAAAUGAGCUCUCGUUUUUCAUCCAAAAUUGAGUCAUUAGUUGUACAUAGAUCAUUAAGAGAAUGUUGUUUAUGGUUGACUUCAGGUUGGAGAAAGAAAUGAAGUUUCUGUGUACAUCUGAAACCGUCUUUGAUAUUUCUCCGAGGUGUCUGAGGGGGCGAGCUGAACCUGAUGUUUACCUUUUUUAAUUAAUCCUAUCCAUGACCACUUAAGGUUGCUCUCCCAUUCCUUGCUAAUAGAAACAAGGAUGCCCUGGCAGAGGCAAGAUCACAUGAUCCUUUAAAAUGAAGUUUGAUGUUUAUAAGCUUAUCUGCUUUCUUGCCAAGAGUGGGUGUGAGAAGAUUGGCACCACUCACUAUCUGUAAGAUGCAUAUUUAACAAUUUGAUUUAUUUUUGUACAAAAUAAAAAUGACAAAUGAGAUGACACAGGCUAAUUAGAGAGCUUCAGAGCUCGGGUCGGUUACCUUUGGACAGAACUAAAGGCCAGAUGUUAUUUACACUAUAGCUUGCUGAUGGGAGUGGCUUUGUAUGUACCAUACAGACAUACACAGUCAUUUAUCGUGAAAAGCUGUUGAGUUUAUUUCUCAAAAUGUUUCACUUUAAAGGUGCUGCUUUGAAGUUUGGUUAACUGUGGACAAUGCUACAGUGCUAACUUUUCUGACCAUGGCCAUACUAUAAUUUACAAUACUUAUGGAAAUAAUGUUUUUGCAGUAAGGGUAACUAUUCUGGAAGUGUCAGUUUGAGCAAAAUUAAAAUGUAUCUUAUCUUCAUCAAAAAGUCCAGUCGAUAAAACAGUUUUGAACACCAAAAGAGGCAAGCAGGGAGCAGAAUUAUCCCCGUACACUUGGACUCUCUGUCAUACAGUAUGAUGUAUAUAACCCAUGCCUCCAAGCAGCAGGGCAGGGUGGGUGUCCGUGGUCGCUGUCUCUGCCCUCUGUGUCUCCAGUGGUCCACCCUACACAUUUUGACAUUCUGCCAAACCCCAAGGUAGCAGGCCAUGAAAAUGAGAGCCCUAGGAGUUAAAAAAAAAAAAAAGAAGUCAUGUUUUGAUCAUCCUCUUCAUCUAUUUAUUCCCAUACUUGUUCUGCUAUAUCUAUAGCAUUAGUUUUGCUUGGAAAAGAGGGAAUUAAGGUUCCAUCAUUUAGGUUUUCUGCUACCUUACCAUUAUUGCUACCAAAAGGGUUACAAAUUAAGAUUCUCGUUGUGUCUCAGCAACCACUAAGAGACUGAAAAAUGCGUCAUAAGGGACAUGAUACAUAAUUUGUGGCUUUGACUAUAAAUAUGAUGCAUGAUGCAGAGAGAGGCUUUGUGUUUUCAUUUUUCCCACAGGCUUUAUUAGUGAGGUACCUGCUGCAAUUUUCAUAAUCCUGAGGCAGCAUGUGCUCCAGUCUGGUGCCAAAGCUGGAAUAUAUAUAUCUUCAUCUGUUUUUAUGAUAUUAAAUAAUUCACUGAAAUGUAUCAAAUAUUAAAACCAAACAUUCUAACCC